rnacentral:tmRNA from 1 species
GGGGGCGAUCGGUUUCGACGGGAUAUGAGAAAUGCUGGAUUGCAUGCGGAGGAUGUCAGUUCCCUCCAUAAUCAUCUGACAAAACACAUAAAUGCCGAUUAUGGCUACAUGGCUGCAGCUUAACUGAUGCAACCCGUCCCGAGCUUGAUGCGUCUAUGGUCUUGCUCAGGGGCGUCACCUACAUAGACUAGUUCCAAAACAUGUUUGCGGUUUUGGAAUGAAAUUUAGCAAGCUGGUUCUUCCUGCUUUUUGUCGCUGAUAAAUGGAAGAAUAAGAUUCCAAUCGGACGACUAAGCAUGUAGACGUCUUUCAUCCCUCUAUUUCGGACGGGAGUUCAAUUCUCCCCGCCUCCACAU